CUGCUAUGUUUAUUAAUGGGUUAAGCCUUCCCCCUAAUCCUCUAGUGGCUGUCUCAUUGACAGCCACUAGAGGCGCUUGCGUGCUUCUCACUGUGAUUUUCACAGUGAGAGCACGCCAGCGUCCAUAGGAAAGCUCUUGCCGCGCGUGCGCAUUCAGCCGACGGGGCGGAACGGAGGAGGAUCGGAGGAGGAGAGCUCUCCGCCCAGCGCUG